UACGGGGGGGGCAAGCGUUGUUCGGAAUUACUGGGCGUAAAGGGCUCGUAGGCGGCCAACUAAGUCAGACGUGAAAUCCCUCAGCUUAACUGGGGAACUGCGUCUGAUACUGGAUGGCUUGGAUCCGGGAGAGGGAUGCGGAAUUCCAGGUGUAGCGGUGAAAAUGCGUAGAUAUCUGGAGGAACACCGGUGGCGAAGGCGGCAUCCUGGACCGGUACUGACGCUGAGGUGCGAAAGCGUGGGGGAGCAAACAGGG
rnacentral:rRNA from 1 species